GGGCAGCUUACAGAAACUCGAAGGAGGAGGACAUGAAGACAUACUGUUUCUGCAGCUGUAUUUCUGAUUUAGAACCACUAUCUUUGGAUCCUCAGGACAUAUAUCAGAAAUUCGAAAUUCGACAUAGAAAAUGGGGUGGUUUUGUUGCCAAAUCCGUCCCUUCGGAUGGGUUCCCUCCAAAUUUCUUGAGGAGAAAAGAUUGGGGAGUAUAUGCCUCUUCACCACCACGCGAACUCGAGUUAAAAGAAGCACCGGGACUUGACAAGACUGUCCGUGCCCGCCUUCCAGACUUCAACUUUCCAUUAUCAUAUAGAAGCCCUCCACCUGUGGUAGUAGGACGGUGGUACUGCCCUUUCAUGUUUAUCAGAGAUGGAGCACUCAAAGAUCAGAUGGAUAAUUCAAGAUAUUAUGAGAUGACACUGGAGCAACAAUGGCAACAAAUUUUUGCUUGUGAAAGUAACUAUAAUGAAGGUAAUGCUGUGACUGUGGAUGUUACUGUUGAAA
rnacentral:misc_RNA from 1 species